UACAGAGGGUGCGAGCGUUAUUCGGAAUUACUGGGCGUAAAGCGUGCGUAGGCGGUUAUUUAAGUCGGGCGUGAAAGCCCCGGGCUCAACCUGGGAAUUGCAUUCGAGACUGAAUAGCUAGGGUACGGUAGAGGGAAGUGGAAUUUCCGGUGUAGCGGUGAAAUGCGUAGAUAUCGGAAGGAACAUCAGUGGCGAAAGCGACUUCCUGGACCAGUACCGACGUUGAGGCACGAAAGCGUGGGGAGCAAACAGG
rnacentral:rRNA from 1 species